rnacentral:rRNA from 1 species
AAUCAACGCUGGCGGCGUGCCUCAGACAUGCAAGUCGAACGAUUAAAGCUCCCUUCGGGGAGUGCAUAAAGUGGCGCACGGGUGAGUAACACGUAAGUAAUCUACCCUCGGGUGGGGAAUAACAUCGGGAAACCGAUGCUAAUACCGCAUAAUGCAGCGGCACCGCAAGGUGACAGUUGUUAAAGAUUUAUUGCCUGGGGAGGAGCUUGCGGCAGAUUAGCUUGUUGGAAGGUAACGGCUUACCAAGGCUACGAUCUGUAUCCGGUCUAAGAGGACGGUCGGACACACUGACACUGAAUAACGGGUCAGACUCCUACGGGAGGCAGCAGUCGGGGAAUUUUUGGGGC